rnacentral:rRNA from 1 species
AUUGAACGCUGGCGGCAUGCUUUACACAUGCAAGUCGAACGGUAACAGGCCUUCGGGUGCUGCCGAGUGGCGAACGGGUGAGUAAUGCAUCGGAACGUACCCAGAGGUGGGGGAUAACGCAGCGAAAGCUGUGCUAAUACCGCAUGUGAUCUGAGGAUGAAAGCGGGGGACCGAGCAGCAAUGUUUGGCCUCGCGCCUUUGGAGCGGCCGAUGUCGGAUUAGCUAGUUGGUGGGGUAAAGGCCUACCAAGGCGACGAUCCGUAGCUGGUCUGAGAGGACGACCAGCCACACUGGAACUGAGACACGGCCCAGACUCCUACGGGAGGCAGCAGUGGGGAAUUUUGGACAAUGGGCGCAAGCCUGAUCCAGCAAUGCCGCGUGCGGGAAGAAGGCCUUCGGGUUGUAAACCGCUUUUGGCAGGAACGAAACGGUGUCCGCUAAUACCGGGCGCUAAUGACGGUACCUGCAGAAUAAGCACCGGCUAACUACGU